rnacentral:lncRNA from 1 species
CUGCCUUCAGUCACUUCAUAAACAAUGAGCUGUCUUUAGUAUUUUCUAUCAUCUAGUUGAAACAGGAGUAAUCAAGUGGUUUAGCUUGUGCUUGUUUCGUAUUCAAUUUUGAGUAGUUCAAUAGGAAUGAUCAUAGACAUCCAUCCCCAGGACAGAUCUUGCUCUUUCCCUUUUCUCAUUCUUACUGAGUUAACUUUGCGAAGGAAAUUAUCAUAACUGCAUCAAAUUUGGGUAAUAUGAUUAUGUGCAUAGGAGUAUCAUUACUACCAUUAGCUUGCUUAUUGUUCUCUAGUCUCAUAUAUUCAGACAACUUAUUUACUGUCCAUGAAUGAUAGUAGCACAAAGUUUUAAUGAGCUUAGAAGCGAUUCACAUCAUGGAUAAUCCUAUAGAAUUCAAUGGUGUUGUUGUUGCCUUUACAACAAUACAUUUUCUCUGUUGCAAGUAAUUAAAAAUAAAUUAGUUCUAUUUAUCAAAAACAAAAAUCAAUUUCUCCUAAGACUUAGUUGGAGGAGUUAUGUUAGUCUGGUAAAGGAUAUUCUUCAGCUAGGGGAGGGAUUCUAGGGCGUAUAUUUCUAUGUAAAAAGAAAACUAGCUGUAACUGUCCACAUAUAAUGGUCUUAACUCACUAAAGAAACAAAGGAGAUAAACAUAUCAGUCCCAUGUCUCCUGUCUUUAGAGGAAAAUUGAGGAUGGAGUUAGAUAUAUUAUGACAAACUUUUCUCUCUUAUGAGCUUCUGUUGGGUUCUAGGAAGUUACUGUCAUUAGAGUUUUAUUCCUUUUUAUAGGUCAAAUAAAUUUCUACUCUUCCAAUUUCCAUAUUGACGUCCAAAUGGUCUUUACAUCAUUACCCCUCAAACAGGAAGUUAUGGUAAGACUUCUUGGAGAAUCAUUUGAGAAGGUCAUCUUCCAUGCCUUCUUAUCACCGUAACUCUGUAAAGCUUAUAUACCUGUGAGGAAAUCUUUCCACAUUGUCAAUUUUCAGUGUUAUAUACUUGUCUAAUUUUUUUUUUGGUUGCCAGUCUCAUUCCUUAUUAUGAAUCUCUGCAACUACGGCUUCCUUUGCAGUUGUGAUUCAAAAGAGACGAGAAAAUUCAGCUGUUAGAGCGGUAUGACGUCCUUUGCAGUUGUGAUUCGAAAGAGACGAGAAAAUUCAGCUGUUAGAGCGGUAUGACCAAGCCAACAUUGAAUACAGUUCCUAAAAGAGAUUCCUACGAACCUCAUGAAAUCCUUUCUCUUCAUAAUCUUUUCCGUUAAGCUUGUUUUCUAAGAGGGAGUUGCCACUUUCCAUAACCAUCCAAAAUAUGUGGUUAUACUUUUUUUCUUGAGAAAGGUAACAAUGUUAUAUAUCAUUAGCACAAAGACAGUGCUAAGUCCCAUUUUUACAAAAAGAGCAAAAGUGUUCCCUUAGUUCUUACAAGUUACAGCGAAUCUAUGAUGUGUAACAAUUAAUUUAUUUCUAGAAAUUCAUAUACUUUCCGUUGAUCAGUUCAUUCCAUCGAGCAUUCUCUUAUUUUUAUAGCUUUCCAUAACCAUACCAAGAGGGCUCAGUUGAACAUUUUUAUUCCCCAAAUGCUAAAACUAUGAUUCCUACCGAGGCUCUUCCGAUCCUACAGGUGCUCUAUCUCUCCCAACUAACCAGGUGAAAUUUCCUAUCUCAUUCAUUUGCCCUCAAAAGGUUUUCAAGUUUUUUAGCCACCAACGCUUGAUAAUGAAAAUGCUCAUUAGAGCUUCCUUUUCAAAGUAAUUCUCCCUCUUUUGACAUGCACUUUUUUUCCCCACUUCUGCUUGAUAAUGAAAAUACUCGUUACAGUUUCUUUUUCAAAGUAAUUUUCCCUCUUUUGACAUGCACUUUUCCCCCCACUUCAUGCAUAUUCUCUCGAACUUUUCGCUAAUAGUAGCAACGAUCUCCAUUGUUGAAUUUGCCUCCUAGGGAAAGAGCUAGGUUUCUUGUAGGGAACUCACUUGCAGCCACUCCUAAGUUGUAGUUAGAUCAUGGUUGUUGUGCACCUCCCAAAAGGUAUUUUAACUCUAAUUUCAUCGUACUGAUUUUGAGCCAAUACACUGCUACAAAUGUAAGACAAGAGGGGUUGCUCUGAUGGUAAGCAACCCCCACUUCCAACCGAGAGGUUG